rnacentral:rRNA from 1 species
GAUGAACGCUGGCGGCGUGCCUAAUACAUGCAAGUCGAGCGAACGGACGAGAAGCUUGCUUCUCUGAUGUUAGCGGCGGACGGGUGAGUAACACGUGGAUAACCUACCUAUAAGACUGGGAUAACUUCGGGAAACCGGAGCUAAUGCCGGAUGAUAUUUUGAACCGCAUGGUUCAAAAGUGAAAGACGGUCUUGCUGUCACUUAUAGAUGGAUCCGCGCUGCAUUAGCUAGUUGGUAAGGUAACGGCUUACCAAGGCAACGAUGCAUAGCCGACCUGAGAGGGUGAUCGGCCACACUGGAACUGAGACACGGUCCAGACUCCUACGGGAGGCAGCAGUAGGGAAUCUUCCGCAAUGGGCGAAAGCCUGACGGAGCAACGCCGCGUGAGUGAUGAAGGUCUUCGGAUCGUAAAACUCUGUUAUUAGGGAAGAACAUAUGUGUAAGUAACUGUGCACAUCUUGACGGUACCUAAUCAGAAAGCCACGGCUAACUACGUGCCAGCAGCCGCGGUAAUACGUAGGUGGCAAGCGUUAUCCGGAAUUAUUGGGCGUAAAGCGCGCGUAGGCGGUUUUUUAAGUCUGAUGUGAAAGCCCACGGCUCAGCCGUGGAGGGUCAUUGGAAACUGGAAAACUUGAGUGCAGAAGAGGAAAGUGGAAUUCCAUGUGUAGCGGUGAAAUGCGCAGAGAUAUGGAGGAACACCAGUGGCGAAGGCGACUUUCUGGUCUGUAACUGACGCUGAUGUGCGAAAGCGUGGGGAUCAAACAGGAUUAGAUACCCUGGUAGUCCACGCCGUAAACGAUGAGUGCUAAGUGUUAGGGGGUUUCCGCCCCUUAGUGCUGCAGCUAACGCAUUAAGCACUCCGCCUGGGGAGUACGACCGCAAGGUUGAAACUCAAAGGAAUUGACGGGGACCCGCACAAGCGGUGGAGCAUGUGGUUUAAUUCGAAGCAACGCGAAGAACCUUACCAAAUCUUGACAUCCUUUGACAACUCUAGAGAUAGAGCCUUCCCCUUCGGGGGGGACAAAGUGACAGGUGGUGCAUGGUUGUCGUCAGCUCGUGUCGUGAGAUGUUGGGUUAAGUCCCGCAACGAGCGCAACCCUUAAGCUUAGUUGCCAUCAUUAAGUUGGGCACUCUAAGUUGACUGCCGGUGACAAACCGGAGGAAGGUGGGGAUGACGUCAAAUCAUCAUGCCCCUUAUGAUUUGGGCUACACACGUGCUACAAUGGACAAUACAAAGGGCAGCGAAACCGCGAGGUCAAGCAAAUCCCAUAAAGUUGUUCUCAGUUCGGAUUGUAGUCUGCAACUCGACUACAUGAAGCUGGAAUCGCUAGUAAUCGUAGAUCAGCAUGCUACGGUGAAUACGUUCCCGGGUCU